rfam:Ictidomys tridecemlineatus contig053795, whole genome shotgun sequence.
GGAGUUGUAGCUCAGCGGUAGAGCGCUUGUCUCAUAUGUGUGAGGCACUAGGUUUGACUCCUAGCACCA